GCGUAGCCAGGUAGGGGUAGGGUAUAGGGUAUAUAUAUAAAAUAGUACCCUGAAAUGCCAGCUUAAGAGGGCCGAAACAAGUAGUCGUUAUUGGUAUGCAGCGGAAUAUUAUUGUUACAGAGGAACAUAUAACAAUGGUAAAAGAGCCUAACUCGAGUUUAAUUGGUUUUGUAACACCUACUAACGGGAGCAGCGAUGCAAUUACCUCUGAAAUGAUGGAUUUUUUAAAAAGAGAAGAUUAUUCAUUGGAGCAAUUGAUUGCAAUUAACUGCGAUGGAACGAGAUGUAACACUGGGAAAAGCCGAGGUACCAUCUGUAAUUUAGAGCAUAAGUUGGAGCGACCACUGCAGUGGUUUAUAUGUCUGUUUCACUUCAACGAAUUGACGUUUACGGCGGUAUUAAAACACUUCUUAGGGAAGGCUAGUGGGCCACAAAACUGGCCUGGAUUAAUUGGUUAUUCCCUACAAAAUUGCGAAAAUUUACCAGCUGCACACAACUUCGAACCAAUCCCAAUGGGUGAGAUGCCCGAAAAUAUUGACGAGUGGGACUUGAGAGCCGAUCAAAAAUAUUUAUUUAAUUUGGUUUGAGCAGUCGAUAGUGGAGUUUGCAGUGAAUAUCUAGCAAGUAUUAAACCAGGUCCUCGGAAUCUUUCGCGAUGGCUGACAACAGCGGCUAGGGUACUUCGUCUGUAUGUUACGAAGCCAGUGGCUUCAGAAAAGUUAAAAAAACUUACAUUCUUUGUAGUAAAGGUUUAUGCGCCAUUUUGGUUUUUAAUAAAAAAAAAGCCGAAAGCCAUAAAUGGCAGCCGACACUUACUACAGUAUAUUAAAUGGAUUCGACAAUUGCCUACAGAUAUGCAAGAAACUGUACAACACUCUGUGCAAAUUAAUGGGUUUUUCGCUCAUCCGGAAAAUGUUUUAUUAUCAAUGAUAACAGACCAGGAUAAACCAGUACGAAAUGAAGGAUAUGACAAAAUUUUUGAAUUUCGUGCGCAUGGAGUUCAUAACAUUCGUCAGUUUUCGUGCCAAGAAUAAUUUUUGAUGCUACGUCGUUAACGAAUUUAAUUGACUGGGACGAAGUUGGAAAUGUUACAGAACCGCCAUGUUUACAAUUUUAUUCGGAUGAUGUUUUGAUUUCUUUUUACAAUUCCGACAAAGUUAUCAAAAUUCCAGACUUUCCUUGUCAUUCGCAAAACACUGAGCGGUUUGUACAAAUCGUGGCUCAAUCCAGUACCUCAGUCAUUGAAAAAAAUCGUCUUGGUUAUAUUGCUAAUAAAAUAGAAUCACGCAAAUGUUACAAACGACUCAAUUCACGAAAGGAUUUUUAUGAUUUUUAUGAGGAUUGAAAACAAUCAAAGUAUGAAAGGGAAAGCGACGAAAUAACAUGUUGAGACCUUUGCGGAUUAUUACGGAGUAACAAGCGUUACCUCUAACGUACAUAAUCAACUGCAUUUAACCGAUUGUGCGAGAACUUUUGGUUGUCUGGAUACAUUUUCUUCAUUCAGUUUUGAAAGCUAUUUGCGAAUUGUGGAGAAAAUCAUCAAGAAACCUUAGCAUAUUCCUCAACAAAUUUUCAACAAGUUUAAUUUAUUGCCAUUUUCAAAGGAACCAAAAAUAGAAGGAUUUAAAGAAAAACUCUGAAGGAGUAAUAAAAUCAUAUACAAGUGAAUGGUUUGGUUACUUUUCAACAAAUUUUCCUGAUUAUUAUUGCUCAACUUCAUCUCACACCUUUUUAAAAAUUACAUAUGUUUUUGAAAAUUAGUCUUUUACAGCAAAAGCUUUUUUAAAUCCAGACAAUUUUUUUACAAAACCUGUUUCUUCUUUGAGUCUCGGGAUUGGUGUUGUAAGCUCGUUGCGACUUGGCCCGGAAAUAGUGUACAAUCUAAAUUAAAUUUCUUACAAGCUAGUAUCUCUAUCCUACAAUCCCAUUUACACCCAGUUGUAUAUGUUGCCGGCCAAAACCGAUCUUAGGAUAAACUAGGUUUUCCUAGAUCCGAUACAUCCGUCUAACACGAAAUCAAUUUUGCCGCUUACAGGCCAACCUAAUAUUACCGGCGUGAAUUUUUCUACGCACGCACGCAAGUUUUUCACGUUUGAGUAACCGAAAUAAAUUUGCGUGAGUGAUUUUUCAGAGUUGCAUUUCAGUCCAAUUUCAAAAGUUGAGCAAAGUUUGAGCAUAAAUGCAAAAUAGCUUCGAUUCUCAAAUUAACAUAUGGGGAUCGAUAGAGAUCAUUGAGGUGAGUAUAACGGUAUAUUUCUUUUCUUGCGAAAACAACAACUUCAAAAGUUAUUAAGGGCGGUAGUUAGACCUAUCCUCACUUAUGGCGCGCUGGUAUGGUGGCAGGCGGUUGACACCAAAUCCCAUAUACUCAACUUGCAAAAGGUGCAACGACAAGCAUGCUUAUGCAUAACGGGGGCGAUUUAUUCAACGCCCCAGGCAUCUCUAGAGACCCUGCUGGAUAUUCCACCUAUAGACCUAUAUGUUAAAAGUAUCGCAGCUAAAAGCGCUCUACGACUCAGAGCGUCUAACAGGCUGCGAACAACUUGCAAAGGUCACGCCACAAUCCUCGGGAGAGAGGGGGUGGAAUACAGCCGCUGUGACUAUCAGGUCACGGAAAUUGACUACAAUCGAAACUUCGAUAUCCAUUUUCCUGAUAGAAGUGACUGGGAAUUUAAUAUUGCUCUCAGCAAUGACGAAAUACCCAUCUUCACGGACGGCUCCAAAAUGGAUAUCGGAACAGGGUCUGGGGUCUUUUCCCAGGAGCUAUCUCUGAGAGAGUCGUAUAGACUCCCAUACCACUGCAGUGUUUUGCAGGCUAAGAUAUAUGCAAUCCAUAUGGCGGCAAGGUUGGUGGGCAUGAUUGACUUAGCUUCAUCUAAACUUGCCUUCGUUUUUGACAGUCAGGCGGCUAUCAAAGCCGUAGGGUUGGCAACGACUAACUCGUUAUGCGUUAAAGAAUGCCGAAGAUCCCUACAAGCUCUACAGCAACACAUAAUCAAUCUUUACUGGGUACCGGGACAUUGUGGUGUCCCGGGAAAUGAGGAAGCGGACGAAUGUGCUAGGAAGGGAUCUGAGAUGGGGCUCGGGGAAGCGACCCAAAUC